GCAUGGACGAAUUCUGUAUUACUUAUUCAAUGGUAUUUACAGUCAGACACCAUGCAAAAUUAAUAUUCACUUUUUUUUUUUAAUUGCAGGUAAGCUUGCAUGCUUCUUGCUUGGUAAAAGUGAAAACAAGA